CCACUCUGCUGAGGUGGACGGCCGUCACGAGCGUCGUCCUUCCACGGAUAGAACAAGCUAGUAAUACCUCUCUGUGGAUGGUCAAUAAAUAAGAAGACUGAAUCCUAGCUGGAGCGAUAAUCCACUGCCCAUAGUUAGCUUAGCUCUUCCACUCAGCAGCGCAGCCAGUUCAUCCAGAUGUGUCCUGAUUUACUGAACAUCACUGAGCAACAUCCGUGUUGCUAGCUGCACGGCUUCCCACACAUUUUAAUCUGCAUCACUUCUUGGGCUCGUCGUCCUUGUUUAUAUAGAUGACACUUAACAUAAAAA